rnacentral:rRNA from 1 species
GUCCACGCCGUAAACGUUGGGCACUAGGUGUGGGCCUCAACCAACGAGGUCCGUGCCGUCGCUAACGCAUUAAGUGCCCCGCCUGGGGAGUACGGCCGCAAGGCUAAAACUCAAAGGAAUUGACGGGGGCCCCGCACAAGCAGCGGAGCGUGUUGCUUAAUUCGAUGCAACGCGAAGAACCUUACCUGGGUUUGACAUGUAGGGAAAAGCCGUAGAGAUACGGUGUCCUUCGGGGCCUUACACAGGUGGUGCAUGGCUGUCGU